CUACGGGUUGCAGCAGUGGGGAAUAUUGCACAAUGGGCGCAAGCCUGAUGCAGCCAUGCCGCGUGUAUGAAGGAGGCCUUCGGGUUGUAAAGUACUUUCAGCGGGGAGGAAGGGAGUAAAGUUAAUACCUUUGCUCAUUGACGUUACCCGCAGAAGAAGCACCGGCUAACUCCGUGCCAGCAGCCGCGGUAAUACGGAGGGUGCAAGCGUUAAUCGGAAUUACUGGGCGUAAAGCGCACGCAGGCGGUUUGUUAAGUCAGAUGUGAAAUCCCCGGGCUCAACCUGGGAACUGCAUCUGAUACUGGCAAGCUUGAGUCUCGUAGAGGGGGGUAGAAUUCCAGGUGUAGCGGUGAAAUGCGUAGAGAUCUGGAGGAAUACCGGUGGCGAAGGCGGCCCCCUGGACGAAGACCGACGCUCAGGUGCGAAAGCGUGGGGAGCAAACAGGAUUAGAUACCCGCGUAGUC
rnacentral:rRNA from 1 species